GAGACAUGGGACGGAACGUUAUAGAUGGAAGUGGUGUAGAGAAAACGUUACAUGAUGUUGGAAUGGGUGAGAACAAGAGAGGGAGUCACAGCAAAGUUUCCGUCUCAACAGUUGCAUUGUUCACCUUGGCGAUGGCUGCUGCUACUGGUUUGGGUGCAGUGCCUUUCUUCUUUGUUGAGCUUGAUCCUCAAUGGGCUGGGAUAUGCAACGGCAUGGCGGCUGGUGUGAUGUUGGCUGCUAGCUUUGAUCUUGUGAAGGAGGGUCAAGAGCAUGGUUCUGGAAACUGGGUUGUUACUGGGAUUCUAGCCGGUGCUUUGUUCAUUUGGCUCUGCAAGCAGGUAACUUGAAAACUGAUUCUUUGCCUGUCCAACAACAUAUUGGAAACUUACUGUACCUUUUGGCAGUUCCUUGAGCAAUAUGGUGAGGUGAGCAUGCUGGAUAUUAAAGGUGCAGAUGCAGCGAAAGUUGUUCUCGUCAUAGGCAUCAUGACACUUCAUUCUUUCGGAGAAGGAUCAGGGGUUGGUGUGUCCUUUGCUGGUUCAAAAGGUUUUACUCAAGGGCUUCUGGUGACUUUAGCCAUAGCCGUUCAUAAUAUUCCAGAAGGGUUGGCUGUUAGCAUGGUGCUUGCAUCGAGAGGUGUCUCUCCACAAAACGCCAUGCUCUGGAGUAUAAUCACAUCCUUACCUCAGGUAAUAAUCCAUUGAUGUGUCUGUGAUCUUGUUUCUUUAUCUACAUAAGUGAUUACUGAUUCUUGUUUUAUUCUUUACCAGCCUAUUGUUGCAGUGCCAGCUUUCUUAUGUGCGGAUGCGUUUAGCAAGUUUUUGCCUUUCUGCACUGGGUUUGCGGCUGGGUGUAUGAUUUGGAUGGUUAUUGCUGAAGUGCUUCCUGAUGCAUUCAAGGUGAAUUGCAUGUUGUUGAUGUUCCCACAUAUGUAAUAUUAGUUUCGUCUCAGCGGUCACUGGAACAGGGGACCUCUGACACAAUGCCACGGUCCUUUCCAGUUGAGCUAGUGACCUCUGGUGAUGUUCCUAUCACAUGAAGAUGACUGACUUAAUUUCUCUUCUCUGUAACCACAACAGGAAGCGUCUCCGUCACAAGUUGCAUCUUCAGCCACAAUAUCAGUAGCAUCCAUGGAAGCUCUCAGCACACUUUUCGAGAAUUUCACGCAUGAUUACAAGUAAUACAAUGAAAUCCAAGCUUUUGCGUUUGAUGGUGUUCUUAAAUUUAACUAAGGCUUCAUUUUCUCCAAUCUACAGCUCAGAGGAUGCUUCUGGCUUCUUCGUUUCACUUCUCUUUGGUCUAGGCCCAUUGCUUGGGGGAGUGUUUCUGGUUGCAUCGGCACUCACCUUCCGUCUCCAGCACGCUCUUCUCAUGGGAGUAGCCUCAGGAAUCGCAUUUGUACUCGGUCUCUGGCGUCCGCUUCAACUGCUGCUCUCUGCCAAAAUGGGAUUCAUCCCUCUUGUUAGUCUACUCGCUCUUGGAGCCGUGCUAAGCCAUUUCAUAAGCUCAACCAUCCUGAAUGCUACUUCUCGGAAGAAGUCUCGAGCUGGUAGUCUAAUAACCCCAGUAACAAAUUUUCCAACCAGUGCCAUAACACUCCAGUCACUAUUAGCGUGUGGAGCGGUUGGUUUCCACGCGCUAGCCGAGGGGCUUGCUCUUGGAGUCGCUGCUCCAAGUGCUUACGGUCUCGGCAGACACAUGGUGCUCCCUGUUUCCUUACACGGGCUCCCAAGAGGGACAGCGGUUGCGAGCUGUGUCUUUGGAGCUACGGACAGUUGGCACGCAGCUCUUGCAGCAGCAGCUUUGAUCGGUUUUGUGGGACCAGUAUCUGCCAUAGGAUCAAUUCUAGCCGGGAUAGAUUACAGUGGACUGGAUCACGUGAUGAUGGUUGCGUGCGGUGCGUUGCUGCCCAGCUUCUGGCAGGUGAUUCAGAGAGCGGUGAGGCUGGAGAGAAAGAAAGGCAUUGUGGGGAUGGUGCUGGGAGUAGCGUGUGCGGUUGUGUGUCUGACUUUCACUAGACUUGUCUGCUUGCACACUCCUUACUGCAAUUCUGCACCAGAGGCCGUUAGAUGAUUUGAUUCAUUGUGAACACANNNNNNNNNNNNNNNNNNNNNNNNNNNNNNNNNNNNNNNNNNNNNNNNNNNNNNNNNNNNNNNNNNNNNNNNNNNNNNNNNNNNNNNNNNNNNNNNNNNNNNNNNNNNNNNNNNNNNNNNNNNNNNNNNNNNNNNNNNNNNNNNNNNNNNNNNNNNNNNNNNNNNNNNNNNNNNNNNNNNNNNNNNNNNNNNNNNNNNNNNNNNNNNNNNNNNNNNNNNNNNNNNNNNNNNNNNNNNNNNNNNNNNNNNNNNNNNNNNNNNNNNNNNNNNNNNNNNNNNNNNNNNNNNNNNNNNNNNNNNNNNNNNNNNNNNNNNNNNNNNNNNNNNNNNNNNNNNNNNNNNNNNNNNNNNNNNUGUAAUAAAGAAAGAACAUUAUUUUUUUGUAACUUCAAAAAGAUACAUUAUUACAAUUUGAAAUGAAUCAAAAUUGAAUAAAAUGGUAAUUAAAUAUUUGUAAAUCUAAUUGUUUAGUUGGAUUCUCAUGAAAAAAAAAAAUCGAUUGGUUAAACAAAUGUUUCAAAAUUUGUUGUGGUAUUGUUUUGUCUAUAAAUUAUAAAAUUUAUUGAAUUAAUAUAUUUAAUUAUUGCAUCCUUAAAUAAUAUUUUAUUAAGACAUUAGAAAAAUAUGUUUUGAGUUGUUUUGUCAAAUUGUACAAAAAUCUAUGCUUUUUCAUAUUUGUAACUUCAAAAAGAUACAUUAUGAUAAUUUGAAAUUAAUCAAAAUUGAAUAAAAUGGUAAUUAAAUAUUUGUAAAUCUAAUUAUUUUUUUAUCUUGUUUAGUUGGAUUCUCAUGAAAAAAAAUCGAUAGGUUAAACAAAUGUUUCAAAAUUUGUUGUGUUAUUGUUUUGUCUAUAAAUUACAAAAUUUAUUGAAUUAAUAUAUUUAAUUAUUGCACCCUUAAAUAAUAUUUUAUUAAGACAUUAAAGAAGUAUGUUAUGAGUUGUUUUGUCAAAAUUUUACAAAAAUCUAUGCUUUUUCAUAUUUGUCACGAAAAUUUAUAUGUUAAACUUACUUUUACAAAAUUCUUAACUUUGUCACGAAAACAAAAAUCUAUGUUUUUUCAUAUUUGUCAACGUUCUCACACUUUCUAAGAAUAUAUUAGCUUAGUCACUUACUUAUUUUUUUUUUACAAAACAAAGUAUCGGAGUUUUGAAAGUUGAAUUCAUAUUAUUGUAAAUGUACAUAAGAGUUUGUGAUUAUAUACUUAGUGGUUCUUGUAUAUGUGUCCAAGAAAGUUUCAAUGGCUUAGUGGUAAAUGUCCUAUAUAUAUAUCAUACUAACCCGGGUUCGAUUCUCACCUUUGCAUUGUUUUUUUAUUUUUUACAAAAAAUAAAUGAGAUGACAUGGCAAUUUUGGAUUCUCUGAUUGGUUGAUUUUUCUAUCCUAUGUGGACACCCUCUCCAUGGCUUAUAUCCCCCUUUUAGUAUAGUAUAGAUUUUGACAUUUUUAAUGGUUUUGUGGUAAACCUCAACGGUUGACGAGAACGGCUCUUGGUAAUUAAGGAUGGAGUGGGGGGGGGGGAGACAUUGGAAGUCAAAAGCUAUUUAGUAAGGAUUUAAUUUUUUUUUUAACAAAUUUUGGGGUUUUUUCAUGUAAUUUUUUUUUAAAAAAGUUUAGGGCCUUAUGUCAAUGUUUCACUUUGCUAUGGCUCAAGACCACCUCUGACUGUAGAGCUAGUAAGUGGAACGCGCCGGAUCAGGUGGUUGAUGUGAAGCAAGCUUUAUUAUAUUUCGAUUUAGAUCAUUUUGGUUGAAACAGAAGUUGUAAUCAACAUUGAUGCCCUUUUGGGAUUUUAAAAUCAAUAUAUAUAACAUCUUUAUAUAAAAAAAAAUCAAUAUAUAUAUUUUAAAAACAUUUUUAAUGUGGAAAAAUAUGUUGUAGAAUAAGCUUGUGUGGACUCACUAACCUUGUGGAGUAGAAAAGACUCUCCAUCAACAACAACGGUGAUGUCUCCGGCAACAUCAGAGAAUAUACUGCAAGUUUCACAUAAUCAAAAUCAAACUGUUCGUUGAUAUGAGCAAAAUGAAUACAGUAGAGCUAAAGAGAGACGACAAGAAUUGGGAUGUAGAGAGAGGACGAACCAGGUGGAGAAGCUGGAAGGAGGGACAGAGGAGCGACUGUUACAUGAAGUAGAGCUUGUUGAGGAAGAAGAUUGAGACAAAGGUCUGUUUGAAAUACCAGCCAUCUUGAACCACGCUGUCUUGUUCUCCAGAUCGCGUGGAGACUCGUUGUAACGAAAACAAUACUGUCCUAGGGGUUUUAGAGAUAAGUCUCUCUUUCUCUAUGAUUUUUACUUUGUGUGCAGACACAGACGCUGUUGCAUUCUUGGUAAGUAAAGAAAGUAUUAGAGAACAAAGAUUCUCGAGUGAUGUGAAGGAGGAAAGCCUUUAUUUACAAAAAGACAUAAAGGGAAAUAGUUCUGAUCAUCUUUGAUUUUGAAACGUAAAUACUUUCCUUUAUAGGAUGUUAAACAAAAUAAAAACUUAAAAGCUAAUCAAGCCGAGAUUUUGUAAUUUUGAAAGUUCCCGAAACCGGUUCUGACCCAAAAACAAAUAUAUAUUGUUACCUUAAUUAUGUUUAAACUCUUUUUCUACCAAUGGUGUAUUGGGUUAAUGAUUUAGCGCAAGGAGUUAAAUCUAUCAGGUAUUAUCAGGUAUUAGUGUUGUCUGGUCCCGGCCUGGUCCGAACUCGUUCCUCCAAGUGAAGAAGAAAAACGUUUAUUUUCUUGUCUUUUUACUACCGACUUAAAUGUGACUCAAUGUACCUCCGUCUAAAGAAAGAAACAUGCAAUGAUGCAUAUUCUAUUUCUAUAUUAGAAUGAUUCACAAGGUACGUGAGAAAAGCUAAAGAGAGUGUGGCACGGAACUCCAUAAAGACUCCAUUAUUGUUCUGGUCUAUCUUGGAGACGUACACAUUCCCUUUACUGCAGCUCUCUCAAUUAUAUUGCACCAAACUUCAAAGUAGAGUAAUAUCACGUUUACUAAUUAAAACCAUACAUGAUACUAAAAGAAAACAUUAGAACAUGACUAAUGUAUGGUUCUUAGGAUAGAAUUCUUAGCGGAAUAUAAGAAACCGUUUCUUAAUUUUUAACUAAAAAAGCUAAGAACCGGCUCUUAAAUAUCAUAUUCAAGAGCCAAUUCUUAGUUUUUUUAAAUAAAAAAUUAAGAGACGGUUUUUUAUAUUCCGCUAGAACCCCACCUUAAGAACCCUCCAUUAAUCAUGCCUACCGUAAAAAAAACUCAUUGUUUUGGUGAUAUUUUUUCUCCAAAUAAUACACUAUCAACUUGUUGAAGCAAAAGACGUAUUACCUUUUUUUGGUUAACAGAUUGGAAUGAGAAUGAGAAAGCAAUUCGUUGUCAGACCAAAACCACCAAAGAAGAGCAAACAUAUACCAAAGGACAUAGCUUAAAGAAUCUACUUUUGGGACAGACAUAAGUUCUCAAUCACUUAAUGCAUGCAUCACUGUGUGUUGUUUUUCUUUUGGUGCGUUCUUGUUGUAGUUUCUCAUGAUUUUUCAUUUAUAUGCAUGUCCAUUAGCCAAAUUAAAGUUGAUUAGGUGUAGCGUUCUAUACCACAUAAUUGUUAUCCCUGGGUAUAAAAUGUAAAAUAUUAUACAAGAGAGUAAGAGUGAAGUUACUCGUUUAUUCACUUGUCUAUUGGGUGGCUCAUAUCGAUGAUAUAGUGCUCGCUAAUUCGCUAUAGCUUCAAAUUGAUAUUUUAUUGAUCACUUUUCCAAUAUGGGGUUAUAUAUAUUAUUUGAUUGUUGCUACGUUAUAUGAAAGUUGUCGAUGCAUCUAUAGAUCUUGUGCGUUUGAUUGAGCACAAUGGAUUUUCAGUAACAACAAAUGUAAGGGCAACAUUAUCGGUAGUCUCUAGUAAAGUAUCUAGAAAAAAACCAUAGGCACUAUCCUAGCAUAGUAGCAUGUGUUACUAAAUGACUAGUUCAAUGUUUUUGUCUGAUUUAAAAUUUAAUUAAUAAUAAAACUGUAUCACUUUCAAACGCGGUCGAAACAAUAAAAAAUUUAUUUAGUACCCUAAACUAAUUUAGCAAAUACAUAAAUAAUGGAAAUUUGUAAUGUAAAAUUUUGAAAUAUGGUCUAUGUGCCCUAAACAUCUGAUUAUUCUGGUGAGGUUUUCACCGAUGGCCAUGCUCUAAGGGGAUUGGUUCGUGUCAUGGUUUUAAACCAUCUUUGGGACAAAGGGUUAUUCUUUAAAUCGAAAUAUUGAUUCCAAACUUGGAGGAGAUUACGGAGAGAAAAAAUGUCCAGGAGAUUUCAAUGUAUGAUUUUGUGAUUUCUGUAUCUUUAUUUAACUAUCAAGACAAAAAUGCCAUGAAUCCAUUUGCGUCCUCGAAACAAAUCCAUAAUUACUUUUGUGGAAUUUUGUCCUAAAUCACUAUCAGCUUGUUGAAACAAAAAUGGAUUGAGAACUGAGCAAGGAAAUUCGCUGCAGACCAAAACCCGCAAAAGAAGAACAAACAAAUAGCAAAGCACAGAGUUUAAAUUAUCUACUUUUGGGAAAUAUAUAUCUCAAUCACAUAAUUCAUCAAUGUGAUUUGUUUUGGUACGUUCUUGUUGUAGUUUCUCAUGCAUAUUCAUCAGCCAAAUUUGAUGAUGUGUAAUGUAGUUUUUUUUCUUUUCCUGUCUGCAACAUACUAUGUUAAAGUGUAACAUUAAGAUGUCAAAGUAAAAUAUCAUACAAAAGUUAUAUAUAGUUAACUUACUUAUUUAUCAAGUAGCGUGGACAUGAUAAUUAGGUCAAUGAAGCAUGUAUACUGCUGUAUCCGAAAAAGAAAUACAUAACAGCAGACGUGAACUCACGAUUAGAAAGAAAUGCCAGUAUAUAUCCAGUGUAUCUCCUCCUAACACAGAAGCCUCAAACCCAACAUUCUUGACGUCAAUUUCAUUUUUUACAAGAAUUACCGACUCUUUUAUGAGAUUAGUAAACUUGAGGGAUUUACUUGCAAUUAUCUUAGUUAAAAAAAUUAAAUAUUUUUCUUUGAAAAUGUAUAAAUCUGUGGGCUAAUUCUUUUUUUUUUUUUUUGAAUGAAUAAUCUGUGGGCUAAUUCUUUGACUACUUGAAUGAAAUGAUUGAUCCCAAAAGUCUCCUAAGCUAGAAGGGAUCAAACGCCAGUCCAAAGCUUUUCAUCCAUCCUUACUUUACCACAACCCUUCUUCAUCGGCUAGAAUCUCGCUCAUGUUACAACGGAUCCAGCAUUUUCCAAAGCUCCGAUUUUUACCCUGUGCUGGUGAGUUCUGCGAUCUGGGUUCGUUUGGGUAGUCUAAAUUAUGUAGAUUGGUGGAUCGAAUCGCGAUUUUCUGCAAUUGGGUUCGCUAAUUGUGAUCUGGUUGACGAUUCUGGGUGAUAAAGGUUGCUGCUUUGUUGUUCUAGGUUUCUGGAUGAUGAUACUAUUCUGUUUCUCUGCUAAUUGGUUUAAUGGGUUUGUGUUGUUUCUAUUUGGUUUAAAUGAUUUCACCCAAAAGAGGUUAUUUUGAUCACAUAGGGAACAUAAUCAAUGCAGGUUUCUGUCUAUGGCAAGUGAUGAGUUUUAGUUUCUUUUCACAGUUUCAGUGAGUUGAAAAUUCGUUCUUGUGAUGUGUUAAAACAGGAAACAGUGACCUCCUCUUGAUGCAGUUUUGAUUCUACAAAGCCUCAGAGUUUAUUUGGUCUCCUUUUAGAUUUGUGAGCAGCAUCAAAAACGAUGCAUUCAGGCUGCACAAAACUCACGCUACUUCUAUUCUUAUUCGCCGCUGUGUUCAUUGGGAACACUGGCGCAGACCCUCAAUGGGAGAUCUCACAUAAAGUAAGAACUGCUCCUCAUGGAGACAUGGGACGGAACGUUAUAGAUGGAAGUGGUGUAGAGAAAACGUUACAUGAUGUUGGAAUGGGUGAGAACAAGAGAGGGAGUCACAGCAAAGUUUCCGUCUCAACAGUUGCAUUGUUCACCUUGGCGAUGGCUGCUGCUACUGGUUUGGGUGCAGUGCCUUUCUUCUUUGUUGAGCUUGAUCCUCAAUGGGCUGGGAUAUGCAACGGCAUGGCGGCUGGUGUGAUGUUGGCUGCUAGCUUUGAUCUUGU
rnacentral:lncRNA from 1 species